rnacentral:tRNA from 1 species
AGCUCAACUGAAUAGAGUAGCUGACUACGGAUCAGCCGGUUACAGGUUUGAAUCCUGUC